GCCUGGCUGGCUCAGUGGGUAGAGCAUGUGACUCUCAAUCUUGGUGUCAUGAGUUCAAGUCCCACAUUGGGUG
rnacentral:tRNA from 1 species